AUACGGAGGGGGUUAGCGUUGUGCGGAAUUACUGGGCGUAAAGCGCACGUAGGCGGAUUGGAAAGUUGGGGGUGAAAUCCCAGGGCUCAACCCUGGAACUGCCUCCAAAACUAACAGUCUAGAGUUCGAGAGAGGUGAGUGGAAUUCCAAGUGUAGAGGUGAAAUUCGUAGAUAUUUGGAGGAACACCAGUGGCGAAGGCGGCUCACUGGCUCGAUACUGACGCUGAGGUGCGAAAGCGUGGGGAGCAAACAGGAUUAGAAACCCCAGUAGUCC
rnacentral:rRNA from 1 species